GAUUUCUGGCUUGAAACAUCUGGCCGGCCACGGUUUCGUGUGUUAGUGCUUGAUGUUCUGGCCAUCCUUCCAAUCGCUAUUGGCUAUUUUUCAUUGAAUGGUCAGUAGUAUUGGAUCUUUUACUUUGAAAAAAUUAGAGUGUUUCAAGCAGGCUUUAUGCUAUGAAUACAUUAGCAUGGAAUAAUAAUUUAGGACUUCGGUUCUAUUUUGUUGGUUUCUAGGACUGAAGUAAUGAUUGAUAGGGACAGUUGGGGGUGCUAGUAUUCAGCGGCCAGAGGUGAAAUUCUCGGAUUCGCUGAAGACUAACUUAUGCGAAAGCAUU
rnacentral:rRNA from 1 species